GACGAACGCUGGCGGCGUGCCUAAUACAUGCAAGUAGAACGCUGAAGGAGGAGCUUGCUUCUCUGGAUGAGUUGCGAACGGGUGAGUAACGCGUAGGUAACCUGCCUGGUAGCGGGGGAUAACUGUUGGAAACGAUAGCUAAUACCGCAUAAGAGUAGAUGUCGCAUGACAUUUUCUUAAAAGGUGCAAUUGCAUCACUACCAGAUGGACCUGCGUUGUAUUAGCUGGGUGGUGAGGUAACGGCCCACCAAGGCAACGAUUCAGAGCCGACCUGAGAGGGUGAGCGGCCCCACCGGGACUGAGACCCGGCCCAGACUCCUACGGGAGGCAGCAGGAGGGAAACUUCGGAAAUGGACGGAAGUCUGACCGCGCAACGCCGCGGGAGUGAAGAAGGUUCUCGGAUCGUAAAGCUCUGUUGUAAUAGAAGAACGAGUGUGAGAGUGGAAAGUUCACACUGUGACGUUACCUUAACAGAAAGGGACGGCUAACUACGUG
rnacentral:rRNA from 1 species